GACGAACGCUGGCGGCGUGCCUAACACAUGCAAGUCGAGCGGAGUCGAUCGACGGAAGCCUUCGGGCGGAAGAUGGUUGACUUAGCGGCGGAUGGGUGAGUAACGCGUGGGCAACCUGCCUCGAAGACCGGGAUAACAGCCCGAAAGGGCUGCUAAUACCGGAUGUGGUCAAGGAUCCGCAUGGAUUUUUGAUUAAAGGGGAAACCCGUUUCGAGAUGGGCCCGCGUCCUAUCAGCUAGUUGGUGAGGUAAAAGCUCACCAAGGCGACGACGGGUAGCCGGCCUGAGAGGGUGACCGGCCACACUGGAACUGAGACACGGUCCAGACUCCUACGGGGGGCAGCAGUGGGGAAUCUUCCACAAUGGGCGAAAGCCUGAUGGAGCGACGCCGCGUGAGCGAAGAAGGCCUUCGGUUGUAAACGUCUGUCAUGGGGAAGAAGUAAGUGACGGUACCCGAACGACGGAAGACCCCGUCGCGUAACUAACGUAGCCAGCAGCCGCGGUAAAGUAACUACUAU
rnacentral:rRNA from 1 species